rnacentral:lncRNA from 1 species
GGAAGACAUUGGGCAGGCAGAGGACUCUAGCUCUCCGGCCUGGGAGUGGAUCGCGUGGGUCUGACAGAAGAAUGGGAGAUCAAGGAGGAUGUUACAUCCACAGUGCUCGCUAUCAGAUUUUAAAAUCCGGGUUGUGCAGUCUUCUUGCAUUGGGAAUUAAAAGCCUCCCUCCACCAUUCUCUGGAUACCAGGCACAGGGAAGUGGGGGAGCCCCGGGGGACACAGGGCCUUCUUGAUCACCUGAAGUCAUAUAAUGUGCACACCGUCCUGCUGUGCCUUGCUUCAGGCUGGUGCUGCUGGAGACCAGACAGGGAAUUUUAGAAGUAGCUGACACCAAAUCCAUCCUGACUUCAAAAGAAAAGCUAGACUGGAAUUGCCACUGCGGCUGACAGGCUUUAUGAAGCGAGCUCCCUCAGGGACCCGUG